GGGCCUGUAGCUCAACAGGAUAGAGCGUCGACCUUCUAAGUCGAGGGUUCCAGGUUCGAGUCCUGGCAGGCCCG
rnacentral:tRNA from 2 species